AAACCAUGCAUCAAACAUUUCAACAGCAAGUCUUUAAAUCUAUCCCAAGCUUCAUAAAAGUUUUCAUCUACCAUUUUCUUGAAAAAUAUGAUGUCAUUUCUUAGCCU